GCAAACUUGGUCAUUUAGAGGAAGUAAAAGUUGUAACAAGGUUUCCGUAGGUGAACCUGCGGAAGGAUCAUUAACAAAUCCAAUAAUUGCUGAAGAACACUUGUUCUUUUUGCAAAUAUUAAUCCGUUGGCCGCUCUUAGAGAGCAGCUGACUGUGAUAUAAAUGCGUGUUAUGUUGACAGUGUGUGUAUAAAUUAAUAUUGACAACUUUUAACAAUGGAUCUCUAGGCUCUUGCAUCGAUGAAGAACGCAGC
rnacentral:misc_RNA from 1 species